rnacentral:rRNA from 1 species
ACCAACGGUGACCUAUUUAACUAAAUGCUUAGUAUCAAGUUUCCAGCAGUUAAGAUUCGUCGAGUUCUGUUAGUACCUGGAAGGGUGACCGCUUGGGAAUACAGAAUGUCGUUGGCA